AUUGAACGCUGGCGGCAGGCUUAACACAUGCAAGUCGAGCGGAGAUGAGGUGCUUGCACCUUAUCUUAGCGGCGGACGGGUGAGUAAUGCUUAGGAAUCUGCCUAUUAGUGGGGGACAACAUUCCGAAAGGAAUGCUAAUACCGCAUACGCCCUACGGGGGAAAGCAGGGGAUCUUCGGACCUUGCGCCAAUAGAUGAGCCUAAGUCGGAUUAGCUAGUUGGUGGGGUAAAGGCCUACCAAGGCGACGAUCUGUAGCGGGUCUGAGAGGAUGAUCCGCCACACUGGGACUGAGACACGGCCCAGACUCCUACGGGAGGCAGCAGUGGGGAAUAUUGGACGAUGGGCGGAAGCCUGAUCCAGCCAUGCCGCGUGUGUGAAGAAGGCCUUUUGGUUGUAAAGCACUUUAAGCGAGGAGGAGGCUACCUGGAUUAAUACUCUAGGAUAGUGGACGUUACUCGCAGAAUAAGCACCGGCUAACUCUGUGCCAGCAGCCGCGGUAACAC
rnacentral:rRNA from 1 species